rnacentral:lncRNA from 1 species
CCCUCGCGAGCUCGAACCCGUUCUGCCAACGAGCGAUGAGGAACGGCCGGAGGCUGAGCACCUCCCUCCUUCCUGGCUUCUCCCUCCCCCCCUCAACGCACACUGGCUCUUGUCCCAGGAAGGAGCUAUUUGGGGGAACUCAGCAUCUGCCUCUCCCAAUUGGCCUCACUGGAAUCAGACUCAACAGUUUUCUCAGAAAGAUGGAGAUCAGGAUGGCUGAUCUGGAUACCAUGUGAAGAGUCCUCUCUUGAUUUUGCAUCCUGCAGCUUUCAACAGCACCAGACCACUAAUGCUAGCUUAACACUGAAGGAAAGUCAAUAAAAAAACCCAAAAGUUCA